rnacentral:rRNA from 2 species
GCGGCGGACGGGUGAGUAACGCGUGGGAACGUGCCCUUUGCUACGGAAUAGCCCCGGGAAACUGGGAGUAAUACCGUAUGAGCCCCUUGGCCUUGGCGGUCUUGGGGGAAAGAUUUAUCGGCAAAGGAUCGGCCCGCGUUGGAUUAGGUAGUUGGUGAGGUAACGGCUCACCAAGCCGACGAUCCAUAGCUGGUUUGAGAGGAUGAUCAGCCACACUGGGACUGAGACACGGCCCAGACUCCUACGGGAGGCAGCAGUGGGGAAUCUUAGACAAUGGGGGCAACCCUGAUCUAGCCAUGCCGCGUGAGUGAUGAAGGCCUUAGGGUUGUAAAGCUCUUUCAGCUGGGAAGAUAAUGACGGUACCAGCAGAAGAAGCCCCGGCUAACUCCGUGCCAGCAGCCGCGGUAAUACGGAGGGGGCUAGCGUUGUUCGGAAUUACUGGGCGUAAAGCGCACGUAGGCGGACUGGAAAGUCAGAGGUGAAAUCCCAGGGCUCAACCUUGGAACUGCCUUUGAAACUAUCAGUCUGGAGUUCGAGAGAGGUGAGUGGAAUUCCGAGUGUAGAGGUGAAAU